UACGAAGGGGGCUAGCGUUGCUCGGAAUCACUGGGCGUAAAGCGCACGUAGGCGGGUCCUUAAGUCAGGGGUGAAAUCCCGGAGCUCAACUCCGGAACUGCCUUUGAUACUGGGGAUCUUGAGUCCGGAAGAGGUGAGUGGAACUCCGAGUGUAGAGGUGAAAUUCGUAGAUAUUCGGAAGAACCCCAGUGGCGAAGGCGGCUCACUGGUCCGGUACUGACGCUGAGGUGCGAAAGCGUGGGGAGCAAACAGG
rnacentral:rRNA from 1 species